AAUCCGUGAUGUGGGCACUACAUAAGAAGGUCCUUGAAUCAUUCAUAUGCCUCAAACAGUGUUUCAAACUCUCCUUGCUUAAACACUGAGAUCUCCUGUCUGAUCUU